rnacentral:rRNA from 1 species
GACGAACGCUGGCGGCGUGCCUAAUACAUGCAAGUUGAGCGCUGAAGGUUGGUACUUGUACCAACUGGAUGAGCAGCGAACGGGUGAGUAACGCGUGGGGAAUCUGCCUUUGAGCGGGGGACAACAUUUGGAAACGAAUGCUAAUACCGCAUAAAAACUUUAAACACAAGUUUUAAGUUUGAAAGAUGCAAUUGCAUCACUCAAAGAUGAUCCCGCGUUGUAUUAGUUAGUUGGUGAGGUAAAGGCUCACCAAGGCGAUGAUACAUAGCCGACAUGAGAGGGUGAUCAGCCACAUUGGGACUGAGACACGGCCCAAACGCCUACGGGAGGCAGCAGUAGGGAAUCGUCGGCAAUGGACGAAAGUCUGACCGAGCAACGCCGCGGGAGGGAAGAAGGUUUUCGGGUCGUAAAACUCUGUUGGUAGGGAAGAACGUUGGUGAGAGUGGAAAGCUCAGCAAGUGACGGUAACGACCCAGAAAGGGACGGCUAACUACGUG